rnacentral:misc_RNA from 1 species
CGCGCAGCGCCGGCUGCUGAUCCAGUAUCCAAAGCGCCAGGUCGGCAACAAGAUGUUUGAGGGCCAGUCCUCGCAUCUGCCGCUCAAGCUCAACACCGCGGGCGUCAUUCCGCCGAUCUUCGCGUCGUCGCUGCUGCUGCUGCCGACCACGAUCGCGAGCUUCAACGCCGGCAAGGGCCCUGAGUGGUUCCAGUGGCUGGCGACGCAGCUCAGCCACCGCCGCCCCCCNNNNNNNNAUCUCGCGAUGAUCGUGUUCUUCGCGUUCUUCUAUACGGCGAUCGUGUUCAACCCGACGGAGACCGCCGACAAUCUCAAGAAGCAUGGCGGCUUCAUUCCCGGCAUUCGUCCCGGUGAGC